rnacentral:rRNA from 1 species
AGUGAACGCUGGCGGUAGGCCUAACACAUGCAAGUCGAACGGCAGCACAGUAAGAGCUUGCUCUUACGGGUGGCGAGUGGCGGACGGGUGAGGAAUACAUCGGAAUCUACUUUUUCGUGGGGGAUAACGUAGGGAAACUUACGCUAAUACCGCAUACGACCUACGGGUGAAAGCAGGGGAUCUUCAGACCUUGCGCGAUUGAAUGAGCCGAUGUCGGAUUAGCUAGUUGGCGGGGUAAAGGCCCACCAAGGCGACGAUCCGUAGCUGGUCUGAGAGGAUGAUCAGCCACACUGGAACUGAGACACGGUCCAGACUCCUACGGGAGGCAGCAGUGGGGAAUAUUGGACAAUGGGCGCAAGCCUGAUCCAGCCAUACCGCGUGGGUGAAGAAGGCCUUCGGGUUGUAAAGCCCUUUUGUUGGGAAAGAAAAGCAGCAGGUUAAUACCCCGCUGUUCUGACGGUACCCAAAGAAUAAGCACCGGCUAACCUCGUG